GCAUGUUAAACUAGAGGCUAGUGCAGCAGAGGAGCAGAAUUUAUUGUAUGAACAAAGUGAUCUUAGAAUUGAAGUGGUUGAACUCACAAGACUGGCUGCUAUUAAGGCUGAUGAAAGGGAACAGAAAGCUCGAGAUUUCAUGCGUGCUGAGAUGUCAAGUCAAAUUUUGCCAAGUUGUAUGAUGUUAUAAAGAAUGAUCGUAACAAGUGUGUGAACUUUAUUCAGACAUGUACACAGAAGCGGCAGAAAUGAGAGAGAAGAUCAAGAUCUUACAGAAUGACACAGCAGUCACUCAAAAAGACAGACAUCUAUAAAAACAGAGAUUACAACAUAUAAACAGUAUAGUAAUGAGAGAUGGUUUGAGGAAUGAGGUUGCCAAGCAGCAAAGAAUUGAGAAAGAAAUGCAUUAAAAAAUGUGAACAACAGAAAAUGGACAUUUCAAAAUUGAACACUAUGAUUAAUCAGGCAGAGGAACAGAUGACAAAAUUAAGAAAUAGAUAUGAAAAAGCCAUAACACAUAGGAAUGAGAGAGGUAUUGAAAGAAAGAAAAUUGAUUGAAAGAAAUGAGGAGGUGUGCAUUUUCUAGGAAAAAGUUAACAUUCAAGAUGAAAUGAUCCGGAAUGGUAACGUAGAGUUGCAAGCUGGGGAAGAAGAGAUCCGGUUUAUACAAAUGAACAAAGAGAAAUGCUCUCCGUGCUCAAACACCUAACAGAGUUAAUCUUGAAGGAGAACUAGUCACUUUACAAAUAAAGCAACAAGAUGUACAGAUCUGUACAAACGUGAGUCCAGCAUGUUGCUGGUGUCAUGAUGCCAACAAUACAGGUUUAGACAAGUGUGUUUGUGGGACGGCAUUUGAUCUUGUAUUCAAGGACAAUAGCACAUUGAAAUAUCGAACAGAUAGAUGGUGAUUUUAUGAAAUGUCCAUGGCAUAAAUUUGGUGGUUUGUGAACGGUAAGAUUGUUAAUUCGUGGAAUUCAGUUGCCAGGACCUCUUUUCUUGAUGGAAAGAUUUAAGAUGUACUGCCUGCCAGCAUCCGGGAAUCGUUAAAUGGAAAUUAGAGAGACACAAACUUCUGGGAGGACAGUGAAUUGACAUUUGUUUUUCUCAACAUGAAAAUGGAAUGAGACAUUCUAGUGGACUAAUUGAUGACACUUAAACUGUAGGGAUCCAAAAAUCUACAACAAUGAGAAAUUCAUCAAUAGAAGUUCAGUGAUAAACUCCAGUAGCAACUGUUCAAGGAAUUCAGAAACAAUAAUAUAGUGUUCCAACUCCAGUGAUAAACUCCAGUAACAGGUGUUCAAGGAAUUCAGAAUCAAUAAUAUAGUGUUCCAACUCCAGUGAUAAACUCCAGUAACAGGUGUUCAAGGAAUUCAAAAUCAGUUAUAUCAUAGUGUUCCAGCUCCAGUGAUAAACUCCAGUAACAGGUGUUCAAGG